CUUUCUUCUUCUGCUCUUGGUCUCCAUCUCUAACCUAAGGAACCAGCCCAUGGAAACAGAGAAAUUAGUAAAUCUUAGAUGCUAUUUAAACGAAACUAAUAAAACCUUCUAAAGAUUCUUCUUCUGAAAUCCCUCAUCUCACUUUUCGAGUUGUACAUCUCAAAUCUGUUGGAACAGAUUCAACCUUAUUAUUUCUCCAUUCAUCCCAAAAUCGAAACUACAAAUAUCGCGUAUUCAAUUAGGUCUGAUAUGUGAUUCAAACCUAUGAGCUUUCGUGAUUAGAUAUGAGACAUGAUUUGAAGCAAGGGUGUUUGUUCCAACCGGUCAAGUUUUUCGUGUUUUCUUCACUGAAAGGAAAUCGAGCUCUCAGAUCUAUAAAUUAGCACCAUGAAUGCUUCGAUCACUUACCUCUUCAUCUAAAUGCUCAUCUCUUUCGAAUAUGAGCACUAUUUUAUUUUUUUUAUUUUCCCUUGUAUUUAAAUUUUGGAGAUAGGGUUUUUUCAAUUAAUUUUAUUUUCUGAAUCUGAGAGGUACAAAAGGCAAUAGAGGAGUCAAAUUGGUGGCGGAUUCUGAUAUUAUUGUUGAUGUUUCUCAUAAGGUUUUGAGGUGCUAAUAGGAGCGGUUGGUGGAGUUGACAGUGGUACUGUAACAAUAAGAGUAUCUCUAGAUGAAAUCAGGGUGGAGGUACGAACUACGAAGCUUGAUGACUUGCGAUUUUGGUAAUUUUAUAGAAGUUCUUGAAUUGCUAAUUUUUGAGGAAAAUGUCUCAUACUGAAACCCAUCAAAUGCGCCGAUGUUGUGGAUAUAAAGAGAAAAUUGAGAAGAUGGGAACUGUCUGUUUCUUUCCACUAUCAAAUCUUGAGUGGUAUUCCUGCUCCUUCAAACUUUGGAGAAGAUUGGAAACGUCGUGCUCAGGGGUGUGUUGUACUUGACAGACACAGGGCCAAUAACAAAGGAAAGCGAGUGUUCAACUUCAAAAAUCCUUUAUUUGGUUUGGUUACUUAUUUAAUGGGAAUGGAUUCGAUUAUACGAAAGUGGCAUUCGUGAGGGAUACCAAAGCUUAACAAAGAAGUUUGAGAUAGUAUUGCAAGACUUAUACUAAAUCAAAGGACUGCGAAAAUGCAAAACCUUGGAAUGAAAGGUGUUAUUUUGCAUUCCCCUGCACAACACAGAAUGAAAUCGGGCAAUAUGAUGAUGUUAAUUUGGUUAACUCAGGUGGGGAUUGAGAAACAUAGAUAAUGGACCAGCAUUGCUCUGACUCAGGAUUUAAACUCGAGUCAACAAAACAUACAUCAGAAGCAGAGGUGAAGAAGUAGGAUGCCAUAAAGUUAACAUCUAAAGUUCAAGGAUUAAUUGUGCUGAAAAAAACCCAGGUAACUGUUCACAAUUCUUCUCACAUCUUGGUCAUCUUAAAGCAAUGCACUAGUGAAUCAGACUUGUAGGUCUCCAUUUAUUACUCGAAUAGAAAUGGACCUCUUGUGAGUCUGCGUUUCUUACUUAUCACAGUUGAAGGACUAGUUGUGCUGAAUACAACCCAGGUAACCAUUCACCGCUCUUGUCGCAGCUUAAUAACUUUGUUUAUAUGUAUUUCUCCGUUGUAUGCACACCUAUCCAUAUUUCACUACAUUUUAGUUUUUGUAAUGGCAGUUUGAUUAAGAUACUCCCAUAAUCGAAUCAUGUUAGUUUCCUUGUAAGAUAACCAAAUAAGAAAAUUUCAUCACCGGUUAAAAUAUUAUGUCAUGGUUCUUGUGACUGAACCCUACUUUUAGUUCACAAUAGUGAGUUAUGCAUGAGUAUUUUUUUGUCGAAUGUAUCACCAGGUGGGUCUAGUCAGGAUUUGUUAAUUUUUUUCUUUAGUGGGUAUAUACAGUUUUUAUUGCAAAAAUAGUUGAAUUUGAAUGCUAUUGUGGAUUCCAGGGGUUACUUACUUGUUGAAGAUGGAUUCGAUAAUAUGAAAGUGGCAUUUUUCAGGGAUAUCAAAGAUCAACAAAGAAGUUUGAGAGAUGGGGAUUGAGAAACACAGAUAAUGGACAAGCUCCGCCCAGAUACAGGUUUUAAACUUGGGUUUACGAAGCACACAACAAAAGCAAUAGUUAUCUCCAAGGAAGCAUUGGUAUUUGGUUUUGGAAUCUCCAAUAAGAUCAGACCCCAACAAGAAUGCUUAUAGAUCCAUUUGUGUUCACUGGAACCACAAAUGAAGCUCCUUCAAUUUCAGCAACUGUUGGAGAUGGUGAGUAUUGGGAUGGAGAUAUUCGGUAAUAAUGUUGGUUUUAACACUUGUUUAGUGGCUAUUCUUGUAAGAUAAUUAAUAUUGGUCAGAUCUCCAGAUUUUAAUCCUUUUUGUAUAAUUUGAAACCAUUGAAUCAUUGAACGUUAAAUUGGAUGAUUAUUUGUGUGCA